rnacentral:misc_RNA from 1 species
UGGUUCUGGCAUCGAUGAAGAACGCAGCGAAAUGCGAUAAGUAGUGUGAAUUGCAGAAUUCAGUGAAUCAUCGAAUCUUUGAACGCACAUUGCGCCCUUUGGUAUUCCUUAGGGCAUGCCUGUUCGAGCGUCAUUUAUCUCAAAGGCCCCUCACUUCUGUGAGGGGGUUGUUGGGUGCAUGUCCCACCAAAGGCGUGGACACACCCUAAAUACAUUGGCGGCCUUUGUCUUGGGCUAUGAGCGCAGCAGACUCGCGUCUCUGGUCCAGUGCGUUGGCAUCCAUCAAGCAAAUCAUAUCUUGACCUCGGAUCAGGUAGGGAUACCCGCUGA